rnacentral:rRNA from 1 species
CGGGGGGCAGCAGUAGGGAAUAUUGGGCAAUGGAGGGAACUCUGACCCAGCCAUGCCGCGUGCAGGACGAAGGAGCUAUGCUCUGUAAACUGCUUUAGCAGGGGAAGAAAAGGCAUCUGCGGAUGAGAUUGACGGUACCCUGAGAAUAAGCACCGGCUAACUACGUGCCAGCAGCCGCGGUAAUACGUAGGGUGCAAGCGUUGUCCGGAUUUAUUGGGUUUAAAGGGUGCGUAGGCGGCUUAAUAAGUCAGUGUUUAAAGCACAUAGCUUAACUAUGGAAAUGGCAUUGAUACUGUUAAGCUUGAGUAGAAACGGGGCAGGCGGAAUUUAUGGUGUAGCGGUGAAAUGCAUAGAUACCAUAAAGAACACCGAUAGCGAAGGCAGCUUGCCAGGAUCUAACUGACGCUGAGGCACGAAAGCGUGGGGAUCAAACAGGAUUAGAUACCCGAGU